UGAAGAACACAAGAACAUAUUCAUAAAAACAAAUCCAUAUUUUUUUUUCCUUAAACAAAACUUAGAACAAAACCCAUCAGAUUCAACACCAUCAUAGCAGCAACAUCAUAAUUGAUAAUCAAACCCUAAUCGAUUCCGUUCCACAACCAUCACCAAUUCUAUAAACCCAUGAAAUUUUCACAGCAACACAAGAUGUAGUUCACUUUCAAUUUUCACUUUCAAUUUUUACCGUAGAAACCCCAACAUCAGUUGUAAUCACUUUCAAUUUAUAAGAACCCUUCUUUCAAUUUUUGAAAUCACUUUCUGGGUUUUUGGUUUAAGUUUUAAGAUGAUGUUGUGAGAGAGAUAAAGAAGGUAAAAGAAGACAUAUUUGCCAUAGAGAGAAGAAAG
rnacentral:lncRNA from 1 species